rnacentral:rRNA from 1 species
UACGUAGGGGGCAAGCGUUGUCCGGAAUCAUUGGGCGUAAAGAGCGUGUAGGCGGCUUGGUAAGUCCGCUGUGAAAGUCCAGGGCUCAACCCUGGAAUGCCGGUGGAAACUGUCAAGCUUGAGUCCGGAAGAGGCGAGUGGAAUUCCGGGUGUAGCGGUGGAAUGCGUAGAGAUCCGGAAGAACACCGGUGGCGAAGGCGGUUAGCUGGGCAGUUGCUGACACUGAGGCGCGACAGCGUGGGGAGCAAACAGG